rnacentral:rRNA from 1 species
UACACUCCUGCGGGAGGCAGCAGUGGGGAAUUUUGGACAAUGGGCGAAAGCCUGAUCCAGCAAUGCCGCGUGUGUGAAGAAGGCCUUCGGGUUGUAAAGCACUUUUGUCCGGAAAGAAAUCCUUGGCUCUAAUACAGUCGGGGGAUGACGGUACCGGAAGAAUAAGCACCGGCUAACUACGUGCCAGCAGCCGCGGUAAUACGUAGGGUGCGAGCGUUAAUCGGAAUUACUGGGCGUAAAGCGUGCGCAGGCGGUUUGCUAAGACCGAUGUGAAAUCCCCGGGCUCAACCUGGGAACUGCAUUGGUGACUGGCAGGCUAGAGUAUGGCAGAGGGGGGUAGAAUUCCACGUGUAGCAGUGAAAUGCGUAGAGAUGUGGAGGAAUACCGAUGGCGAAGGCAGCCCCCUGGGCCAAUACUGACGCUCAUGCACGAAAGCGUGGGGAGCAAACAGGAUUAGAAACCCGGGUAGUCCCAUGA